UACGAAGGGGGCUAGCGUUGUUCGGAAUUACUGGGCGUAAAGCGCACGUAGGCGGAUAUUUAAGUCAGGGGUGAAAUCCCGGGGCUCAACCCCGGAACUGCCUUUGAUACUGGGUAUCUCGAGUCCGAGAGAGGUGAGUGGAAUUCCGAGUGUAGAGGUGAAAUUCGUAGAUAUUCGGAGGAACACCAGUGGCGAAGGCGGCUCACUGGUCCGGUACUGACGCUGAGGUGCGAAAGCGUGGGGAGCAAACAGG
rnacentral:rRNA from 1 species